UCUCUCACACACACACACACACACACACACACACACACACACACACACACACACACACACACACACACACACUCCAAAGCAAUCAUUUUAUUGGAUAAUUGAAUUUAAACAGUACAAGCAGUGAUCUUCUAUACAUAAAAUGGAUAAGCUUGCACAUCCGACAGCUCCAAGAGGCAACAAAAAAAAAAAGAGUAAAACUUUCAACAUCCAUUCCUUUGAAACCCAAUCAUCAAAAAUGUAAUUAAUUGCAGGAUCCAAGAAGGCAUUUAUAAUCUGAUGUUACAUUGAAAUGCAGAUGACUUCAAAUACAAUCACCCAGUCUUAACAGCUAAGAAAUAAAAAAUGGCCACCAAACUAAGAGCACUGAAAGGUCCUUUCAUCAUCUGCUCCAUCAUGCCACAAAUAAAGCGUGGAAUGUUCAUUAAUGUUGACACAAUGUCACAUCUUGUCUUAAUGACAUCACCCACUUCAUCUUUACAGCAAAGUAAAACAUGAUCGAUUUUCCAUCUUUCAAAACAGUGUCUUCAUGCGAUUUCAACACAGGACCCUCAUUGAAAAUAAAAGCUAGACCUAUUCAAAUGUAGUAAAAAAUAUCAUCCUAAAGCACUUUGUAGUAUGCUGAGGUCAAGUCAGGUUUCAACCACUGUCACCUGUCAGUACGUAAGAUUAGCCGUAUAUUCUCACAGCUCUUAAAGCUAGGGGAGGCAAUUUGUAAAAAUCAGUAAACUUGAUUAGACCAAAAAAAAUGCUUCUAAAUAAAAUGCCUCCCCUGGCUAAUAAAAUAGGGGAAAUAUAUUUCAUAUUCUCCACAUGAGAAGGAUUCUCAGUAUAGCAGACAGUAUAGCAGACGACAAAGUUUAAAAAUGGAUAAAUUCUUUCCUUGGUUGAUGCAUGAUUGUUUAGUUUAAAUAAAAAUCCAUUCCCGCAAACACAGGUUUGUUGGCCCCCCUUCACCUGGCGGUCAUCUUGUUGUAAACACUUGUAGUGAUGGAACUGAACGCAGAAUUCCGUGUUCCGUUCGAAUACCCUGCUAGCGUUUUGGAACCAAGAUGGCCGCCGGUUGACUGAGGCCCAUGCACAGCAGCAGUCUAGAGUCUUCAUGAUUGACCCAUAACUCCAAUCUGUUUAGGUUGCUUCAGACACAAACUGAAGAUAAACAUUUAUGAGGGGUAACAGCGCUAAAUUCAGUUGUUUUGCCCUCCAAACCCGUGUUCAAUUUCUUUCACCCACAUAUAGCAACAUGAUAACAUAUUUCAUAAUCUGGGAACACACCAAUGCACACAUUCAGCACAUAUGGUGACAAUUAUUCAUCAAUAGAGAGAGAGCUCUUGUUUGCGGAGGAAAAAAAUUAACUGACAUUUGGUAUUUUAUAAACUCAUAGAAACAUUAAAACCAAGCGAAGACAUAAAUUUUUUUUUGGGCGACUGUCAGCCUCAAAGAGCCAAUUAGGCGACUUAAUUCCUAGGACUUCAGUCACUUCCCGUGCGGCCGUUACUGCAGUAAUGUGCGGCCAGAACAAAGCAAAUACACACCACUACCCACGCCGUUCAUUUGCAGAUAUGGGGAGAUAAAAGUCGUUUUCUCCUGGAUGCGGAGGAUGAUGAAAGCUUUCCAAAAUAUAUAGAUUAAAAAAAAAAAAGGCUUCAGUGUCUUCCACCGCCUAGUGUUGCCUAAACACAACUCAAGAGGAAAAAAAAAAAAGGAGGGCAUAUGGGGGGAGACAGCACAGCCAAAGUAGAGUUUGGUCCAUGAUGUCACUCAACAGGGCCCCCAUCAUGGUAGUGACAUUGUGGUGAUGUCAGUGUGGUAGUGACAUCAUGGUAGUGACAUUGAUGAUGGUGACCCCUUCCAGUCCCUUGACCGGGAUCAGUAUGAUCAGUAUGCUACGAGUCCGUCAGCGUCACUCUGCCGCGGGCCAACCUUCCUCCUCUCCGCUCUCCAUCACUCUCUCCUUUGGAACCUUAGCAGGGUGUCUUUGGGGGUCCCCGGGAGCCUCAGCCUGUCGAUAGAGAACACACGGGGGGAGGGAGGCAUUGAGGGUAAGGCAUAGAGUAUAGUGUGUGUGUGUGUGUCAUCUCAGACUAACGAUUGUGCGAACAGUUUAGUAUCACUAUUAUGACCUCUGACCAAGACAAGUGUUGGGUGCCCAUCUUCCUGAUUUUUGAUCAGAGUGCAUCAUGGGAUUGGGGGCAAAACAAGAAGUGUUUCCAAGUGCAUUUGACCGUCCCUUCAUAAGGGUGACCUUUCUUAAGUCUUCCUUGGUCACGACCCAGAUUAAGCAUGGGAGCAGGGUAGGUUGUCCUCCGCCCUCGCUCCUAUUGGAGCGAGGCGUUCACACACCGACCCACGAGUCAAGUGGAUAACCACUUCCGUCCUCAUGACGACCACACAGGAAACUGUUCAGGGAGUCAGCUCAGGUCUCAACGCCUCGCUUAUGAACAUGAAAAAGAGGAUGCUACAAAACAUAAUCGAGUCAGUCCAUCGGAUGACCUCAACAGGAAGCGGGUCGGAUUGCUUGAUUCAACACAAACCCCCAUCACAUCCUGUUAAUAUCCAGUAAAAUUAAAUUUAAUUCCCACAAUAAUUAUUAUUCUGCAGACGGUCGCUUGUGACUGUGGUCUACAAGCUGCCCUUCUGAAUGAAUAGAUCUCUGUAUAGCGAUUUAAAAUCCAGAAAGGCGUAUGUUCAAGCAUACGGAGCCAAAACAAAUCGACAACUGGUUCUCGGGGGGGAUUUUGACAUCCCUCAUCAUCAUAAACCACGGCUGUGCUUCAAGUCAUCUGAUCCGUGAGGCUGUAAUCCAAUCAGACCUCAGCCCUUCAAACGGCCCUCCGUCCUAUCUGCCCGUCAUCUGUCCAACCUGCUCCGGUUAAUUCCCUCUAAAAAACCUUUUACGGGCAUAAUUGUUGCUCUAAUCCCCCUCGUUUCCUGGGCCCCUCCCUGGCGCUACAGCAGCGCUGGCCUCACGGAGACGGUAAACACCAUACGCUGCCGUCUCGCGAGCGUCACUAAUGACCCACUCAAAAUGUUGGAUCCAGCCGUAAACGCGGGUAAAGUGAGACGUCAAAUGUUUUAUAAUGCUAACCGCUAUGGUCCUCCCAUUGCCAUUAGCAGGGAGCGACAACACGCUAAUGGAUCGUUAUGGGGCGAGAAGCUAAUGGAUGGUGUACGUGUGGCGGUCCUUGGGC
ensembl:lncRNA